rnacentral:rRNA from 1 species
AUUGAACGCUGGCGGCAGGCCUAACACAUGCAAGUCGAGCGAGCGGCGGACGGGUGAGUAAUGUCUGGGAAACUGCCUGAUGGAGGGGGAUAACUACUGGAAACGGUAGCUAAUACCGCAUACCAUCAGAUGUGCCCAGAUGGGAUUAGCUAGUAGGUGGGGUAACGGCUCACCUAGGCGACGAUCCCUAGCUGGUUUGAGAGGAUGACCAGCCACACAGGAACGGUUGCACGGUCCAGACUCCAACGAGAGGCAGCAGUGGGGAAGAUUGCACGAUGGGCGCAAGCCUGAUACAGCCAUGCAGCGUGUGUGAAGAAGGCCUGCGGGUUGUAAGGCACUUUCAGCGGGGAGGCGUUACCCGCAGAAGAAGCACCGGCUAACUCCGUGCCAGCAGCCGCGGUAAUUC